CACCUGGGCGUAGGUGGGUGUUCGACCAGAGAAGAGAAAGAAGGGGGAAACCCUUCUCAAACCCUAAUCGACCAAAUUGGAUGGAUUCUGGCUGAAAUCGAACUUGCAUGAACAAGAUUCUUGAUUGUUCAACUCUGUAAAACACAUGGAAUCCCAAUUGACAUGGACUCAAGAAUGGAAGGCUAACGGAUCAAGGGUAAAUAAAGAAGCUAUGCACAACUCGGACACACGAUGUAUAUGAACACCGGGUUCUUGAAGUAUUGAAGUCGAACUCUGAAUAAGGAAAUACGAGAGGAGGUAUUGCACGUAUCUCUACCACUACUAUCGAAGAUAAGCAUGCAUUGAUCGAGCCCCAAAUUAAAGAUUGUACGGGAAGAACGGCCACAUAGUCCGAUUUAUGUAUUGUCUUGAAGCGUUACUUUAAUGUGGUUAUUGUUAAUCCCUUUUUUGUAAAUGUUUAUCAUUUGUAUUUGAGGUUUUAAAUAAGUAAUGGGUCUAAAUAAGAAAGAAAAUUUUUGGGCUCAUAUUUUC
rnacentral:lncRNA from 1 species